rnacentral:rRNA from 1 species
GACGAACGCUGGCGGCGUGCCUAAUACAUGCAAGUAGAACGCACAGUUUAUACCGUAGCUUGCUACACCAUAAACUGUGAGUUGCGAACGGGUGAGUAACGCGUAGGUAACCUGCCUGGUAGCGGGGGAUAACUAUUGGAAACGAUAGCUAAUACCGCAUAAUAUUGAUUAUUGCAUGAUAAUUGAUUGAAAGAUGCUAUUGCAUCACUACCAGAUGGACCUGCGUUGUAUUAGCUAGUAGGUGAGGUAACGGCUCACCUAGGCGACGAUACAUAGCCGACCUGAGAGGGUGAUCGGCCACACUGGGACUGAGACACGGCCCAGACUCCUACGGGAGGCAGCAGUAGGGAAUCUUCGGCAAUGGGCGAAAGUCUGACCGAGCAACGCCGCGUGAGUGAAGAAGGUUUUCGGAUCGUAAAGCUCUGUUGUAAGAGAAGAACGGGUGUGAGAGUGGAAAGUUCACACUGUGACGGUAUCUUACCAGAAAGGGACGGCUAACUACGUG